GGCAAUGUGGCGGAGUGGUCUAACGCGACAGAUUCGAAUUCCUGUAAGAUCUGUUCCUCUCUGAGGGCGCAUGUUCGAAUCAUGCCAUUGUCG